rnacentral:lncRNA from 1 species
ACUACACAAGACUUCUAACUUAUUCUCUAGGAGGUUUUUUUCUUAUUUGUUUGAAUUUGGGAUUUAUUUUUGUUUUUGUUUUUUUUUUUUUUCUGCUUCUUCUCCCUGCUGCAUUAUCCAGAAUUGAGCUGAACUGAAUUUCCACAAGUUAUUCUUGUGUGAAGACUGAAUGCAUCAGGGGCAAUAAACAGGAAGCAGGCUGUAGAUGGACUGAGAUGUGGAGGCAGGGAUGAUGAUUCCACCAGUUCCCUGGGCAGCCUGUUCCAGGAUCCUGGCCCGGGUGGGGACAGCCAAAGGACUCCUCGAGGUUUCAGCUGAGUGCCAGGAUGCUCAUGCCAGCAGAAAAGGCAGACCAGCUAUCCUGCCACCUAAACAAAAAAGCUCAGCACAAACAGCUUCAGUAAGACUGCAUUCACCUGAGCACCCCAGACUAGUCAUCGCAUGCCAGCAGUCACCUGGAAAAGUCUACCUGGUCCCAGCUCCCAAGCAGAUCUCCAAGCAAGAUCUAUUGUGUAUUUUUGUGUCUGUGCUCCUGUAA